AUUGAAUGCCGGCGGGAGGUCUAACACUUGCAAGUCGAGUGAGGGGUUGAUGGGUGAGGAAUGUAUGGGGGUGUGCCCGCUAGAGGGGGUUAACUACUGGAAACGGGGGCUAAUCCCGCAUAACAUCGAAUGAACUCUUAGGGGAUUAGCUACUAGGUGGGGUAAAGGCUCACCUAGGCGACUAUCUCUAGCUGGUCUGAGAGGAUGAUCAGCGAGUCUGGGACUGAGACACGGCCCAGCCUCCUCAGAGAGGCAGCAGUGGGGAAUAUUGCUCAAUGGGCGCAAGUCUGAUGCAGCCAUGCCGCGGGUAUGAAGAAGGCCUUAGGGUUGUAAAGUACUUGCAGCGGGGCGGCGUUACCCGCAGAGGAAGCACCGGCUGACUCCGUGCCAGCAGCCGCGGUAAUAC
rnacentral:rRNA from 1 species